AGUUACAGGAGGUCAGGAAGAACCCCCUCCAAGCUGGGGAUUGCCCUCUGACCCCAGGCGCUUACUGAACUGUCCGAGGAAGAGAAGACAAGCAUCCCCAUUAUACAGAAGAGGAAACUGAAGCUCAGGAAGCUGAUUCCUUGAAAACCAAACAAGGCCAGAAUAAUCAGAUCCUGUCCGGACAAAGGUCUCCCACUGCCCACUCUGGAUGAACGGCCUGGCCCAGCCUGGGGAAUGACAGAAGGGGCUGGUUUAGAAGAAUUUCUUCAACAUUCUCAGAUGCUAAAAUUUCAGUCCCAUCUGGGGCAAGUCGUGAGUACCUAGGGAUACAAAAAGGCUAAACUCCACCUCGCUUUCCUGCCAAGAUUCUACAGCAAGCGCAGAGAGAAGGACAGCAAUCUGUAGAGGCAGAUGGUGUGUUUAGAGCUCCAUGGGUUUGAGUGUCACCCACAGCCUGGUGGCGCCUUUUGGAGCUAACUUCUGUGAAGGAUCAAAAAGUAAAAAGUUUAGGCUGUUCUCCUUCACGAGUCUGCCAUUGUAGUGUGAAAAUAACCGUCGACAACGUCUAAACAAAUGGGUGUUCCUG